CAAGGUUUCCUGAUCAACGCUAAUCGGAUCAGGGUUAGUCGGGUCCUAAGGGUAAGCCGAACGGUGAUCUCGAUGGACAAUCGGUUAAUAUUCCGAUACUAACAUAUACCUCGAUGGAGAGACGAAGGAACGUAAGUGACGCCGCCUGACGGAAUAGGUGGUUAAAGGGCGUAGGUAUAGGGACAGAUUAAGAGUUAGUCCUUGCUGAAACCCGACAGUACGGAGCGGCUACGGCCAAUCUGAUAGUUCACCCAAGUCGACUUCCGAGAAAAUCUUCUAAGUUAUAGUAUAUGUCACCCGUACCGUAAACCGACACAGGUGGUCGAGGAGAGUAUCCUAAGGUGCUCGAGUGAAUCACGGUUAAGGAACUAGGCAAAUUAACCCCGUAACUUCGGGAAAAGGGGUCCCAUCGCGAGGUGGGCGCAGCGAAGAGGUCCAGGCGACUGUUUAUCAAAAACACAGGGCUCUGCAAAUUCGAAAGAAGACGUAUAGGGCCUGACACCUGCCCGGUGCUGGAAGGUUAAGAGGGGAUGUCAUCGCAAGAGAAGCAUUGAAUCGAAGCCCCAGUAAACGGCGGCCGUAACUAUAACGGUCCUAAGGUAGCGAAAUUCCUUGUCGGGUAAGUUCCGACCUGCACGAAUGGUGUAACGAUCUGGACACUGUCUCAACCGUGAGCUCGGUGAAAUUGUAGUCCCGGUGAUGAUGCCGGGUACCCGCAACGGGACGAAAAGACCCCGUGAACCUUUACUAUAGCUUAACGCUGAAUUUGGGUACACAAUGUGUAGGAUAGGCAGGAGACUACGAAGCGGGCACGCCAGUGUUCGUGGAGUCGACGUUGAAAUACUGCCCUUUGUGUACUUGAGUUCUAACCCUCGAGAGGGGACACCGUUUGGUGGGUAGUUUGACUGGGGUGGUCGCCUCCAAAAGAGUAACGGAGGCUUCCCAAGGUACCCUCAGCACGAAUGGUAACCGUGCGUAGAGUGCAAUAGCAUAAGGGUGCUUGACUGUGAGACCAACAAGUCGAUCAGGUGCGAAAGCAGGGUAUAGUGAUCCGGUGGUUCUGCGUGGACUGGCCAUCGCUCAAAGGAUAAAAGGUACUCCGGGGAUAACAGGCUGAUCGCCGCCAAGAGCUCAUAUCGAC
rnacentral:rRNA from 1 species